AAGGUACCAAACUCUCUGUUCAAACAGUUCGGACGAUCAUCAGUAUAACACAAAACAUCCAACCAGAGGCCUCUUCACAGUCCCCAGGUCCAGAACAGAGGCUGGGAAACGCACAGUAUUAAAUAGAACCAGGACUACAUGGAACUCUCUGCCAUCCCAGGACCUGAGCCCUAGGACCAUGCCUCAGGACUACCUGGCAUGAUGACUCCUUGCUGUCCCCAGUAUCCCUGCCGUGCUGCUGUUCAACUGUUCUGCCUGCGGCUAUGGAACACUGGCCUGUUCACUGGACGUGCUGCCUGUCCCAGACCUGCUGUUUUCAACUCUCUAGAGACAGCAGGAGUGGCAGAGAUACUCUGAAUGAUCGGCUAUGAAAAGCCAACUGACAUUUACUCCUGAGGUACUGACUUGCUGCACCCUCAACAACUACUGUGAUUAUUAUUAUUUGACCAUGCUGGUCAUUUAUGAACAUUUGAACAUCUUGGUCAUGUUCAGUUAUAAUCUCCACACGGCACAGCCAGAAGAGGACUGGCCACCCCUCAUAGCCUCGUUCCUCUCUAGGUUUCUUGCUAGGUUUUGGCCUUUCUAGGGAGUUUUUCCAAGCCACCGUGCUUCUACACCUGCAUUAGCUUGCUGUUUGGGGUUUUAGGCUGGGUUUCUGUACAGCACUUUGAGAUAUCAGCUGAUGUCAGAAGGGCUGUAUAAAUAAAUUAGAUUUGAUAUACAUAAUUUUAAUAGCAGGGUAUAGUAAAGUCCAUUAUUUUUCUGAAGAGUAUAUGAGAAGUGUUGAAUGAGCAUGGGCGGAGUAUUCAUUGUGGUGCUCAUGAAUUUCCUUUCUUUUUCAGCUUCAAACCAAUAACUAUUCUCACUUAACUUCGUUUUUUUGUUUUUCAUUUCUAUGUUUUUUACACCGGAAGGUGAUUAUCCAACAUUAUUAUACAACAUUAUAAAACAGCACAUGCUCUCCUCACAAUGUCAUGCGUUUUAUUGAUUUGAUUUAUUGAUAAGAUCCUAGCUCAUAAUCCUACUGAUCAUUGCUCGAAGCAAAUUGGCGAGAGCAAGCAAACACAAACUGAAGUGAAUGUUUACUAUGUGAUUACACAAUGUGGCUGACUAGAUGACUACAGGAGAGAUUACACAAUGUAUCUGGCUGGAUGACUACAGGAGCGAGAAAUAUGGAUGAGCUGUUCAAUGGAAGAGUUCUGAAAUAUUCUUUCUCGCCAAGGCAAAAUGUGACUGUGAGUAUGUCAUAUUCAUCAAACUCGGUGGAAAUUACUUGGGCCACACAAAGGGGACAGCCCUGGUGCGUCAGAUGAGAGCUGAUUUGGAGGUAGUCAUCAGAAUGUUCUCAGAGAGAACGGUGGUCAACAUCACACAGUGGAGGAGUUGGAUGUUCCAGUGGGAGGAGACCAGGCUGGUACACAGCAAGUCACCAAGCAAUGAUUCUGAUGUUUUAACCUGGUGCAGUGUGUGGAGCCCCCUGACUAUGUUUACUAUAUUACGUCUAGUCUAUGAGACCAGGCUGGUAGACAGCAAGUCACCAAGCAUUGAUUCUGAUAUUGUUAUUUUAACCUGGUGCAGUGUGUGGUGUCCCCUGACUAUGUUUUACUUGCGGAUAGCGAUUUCAGAUUUUCUGUGAACACACUGAAAAGUAAUUUGACACCUAAGUUGAUCAGUCAGCACACAUUUGGAUUAUAAAUGUGAAGACGGCAGGAGAGGGAGUUUAUGCCGGAGCUGUCAUUUAUUCGACAAAUGUUUGAAACAGCAAUGCUGUCAGUCUGGUAAGCAUGCACAACUGAGGUUCGGUUUCCAUGUGCAUUUGGGGUUCUUAAUUUUAUGUAGUUCAACAUCGCUAACUUACUGUAUCUCAAAUCAAAUCAAAUUUUAUUUGUCACAUACACAUGGUUAGCAGAUGUUAAUGCGAGUGUAGAGAAAUGCUUGUGCUUCUAGUUCUGACAGUGUCUCAACAAACCCAUUUGUUUUCUUGGCAAUGGUUUGUGUUGUGGUAUUGGUUCUUCUUAGGAAAUGUAGCAUAGCUAACUGCAAUGUUAGUCCUGUCUGACACAUUUGAUCAUAGCUUGAUCAGUGCAAUGCAAAUAAACAUGAUGAGUAUUUUUAUUUAUCCGUUAUUUUACCAGGUAAGAUGACUCAGAACACAUUCUCAGCAAUGACCUGGGAAAUAGUUAUAGGGGAGAGGAGGGGGAUGAAUGAGCCAAUUUAAAACUGGGGAUUAUUAGGUGACUGUGAUGGUUUGAUGGCCAGAUUGGGAAUGUUAGUUACGGGUCUCCUGACUUUAACAUCCCAUCCAAAAGACAGCACCCUACACAGGGCAGUGUCCCCAGUCACUGCCCUCAGGAAUUGAGACAUUUUUAGGCCAGAGGAAAGAGUGCCUCCUACUGGCACUCCAACACCACUUCCAGCAGCAUCUGUCUCCCAACCAGGGACUGACCAGGACCAACCCUGCUUAGCUUCAGAAGUAAGCCAGCAGUGGUAUGCAGGGUGGUAUGCAGGGUGGUAUGCUGCUGUCUAUAAGUAUGGCAGUUUCCCAAAGUUUGGUGGUUUUAUACUUAACGUAACUAACAUUAACUAAAUAGUAAUGUAUUGUGUAAGAAAGUAUGAUAUAUUGUCGUGCAUGAACUGGCCAUACACGUUAGCUAAUGUUAAGUCUUACGUUGGCUAAGGUUACUUAGCUAGCUAAAGUUAAUUGGCUAUAAUAGCAGCCAAGGACAUUAGCUAAUUUAUUUGUGCAUCUUUGUUUGUGCUCUGGUUACAUCUAAGUGUCUAGUUUACACAAGAUGAUUUCAGCAUUAUGUGAAAAAUCUUAUUGGCAAAAUAUAGCUUGCUAGCUAGCGUUCCCUACUUAUUGGUUAACUACCUAGCCAAUGUUAGCUCUCACUUGACUGGUAUAACAUUAUGUUAGCUAGCUAGCUAAUCAAAACAAAAGCACAUUCAUUGGCUAGCUACAUUUAUUUGCCUCUUUGUUUGCUAGCUAGCUUUCUGCUGACUGGUGAUAGCUAGCUACAGAGGCUAGCAGCUGGACUUUGUACAAGCAAGCUAAUGUUAGCUAGGUAGCAUUAGCUAUUUAGCUACCUAGGUAAUCAAAAUAUCUCUUUAAAUGUAUUGAUUAACCUC
ensembl:lncRNA